CAGUCCAGUUCAGCCAUCCAUCAAUGUCAGGGUGCGUAUGGAUCAGGAGAUGCAUCGAUAGGUUGGUGCCUGUUUGCAGGGGCCCUCCUCGGUAUGGGUGCAAUACAGCAGCUCGCACGCGCUGAUCAACGGAUUGGAUUUUUGUUCUAUAAGGGUCGUUUUAGGCUGGAAAGUCAGUGUAAAAACAUCAACAAGGUGGUACAAGAAGUUGAAAGACAACUCGUGUUUUUUUUUUUACUGCGUCUUUGGCUUCUUGUUAGACUUCUGGGAAUUGGAGCUGAUCUCUUUGGGCCACAGUGAGAGUGGACCUUAUACUGUCAAGGCAACGAAUACGACCCAAAAACUGAAUCCUAUGAAUCUGCUUUUAUUCUAUAAAUAGACGGCUCAUUGUAUGAAACAGUGACACAGCUUGAGGGAAAACGGUGGACUGCUGGGCUGGAUCUGUAACAUUCACAUAUCCACCAAACACAAGCAGUGACCUACUACGAGUCAUCCUGACUCCGGCAUCAAACACUCUUUGCUUUUUUGUUUCUCUGGGCUUUAACUGCAGCACUUUUUUAUUUAUUUUUUGCUCUGGUGUUCCUGCUUGUACAGGCCUACAGUAUAUUGUAAGUUGUGUACGUGUACUUCUACACUCAUCGGCGGAGUUGCAACACCUCUCACACAAAGUAGGAAAAGGAAAAUAUGUAUGAAUGUGAAACUGAGUACAACUGCUUACCCCCUCCCAUGCCAAACCCAGCUAACCAUGCGUGCCCCCUUCCCCAUAUACCCCUCUCCCUCCCACCCAGCCCUCCCCUCCUGAAACUCCCACACUCCACACCCAAUAGAGCACCCGUUGCUAGGCGACAGAGGGAGAGAGAUGAAUUGAGGAGACAUAGUCAAUCAAUUCUACAGAGAGAGGGUGAGAAAGGAAAGGGGGGAGGCAGAAGGAGUUAAAGAAAGAAGGAACGAGAAGAGAGAGAGAGAGAGAGAGAGAGAGAGAGAGAGAGAGAGGGAGUAAAGGAGGACAGAAUGCAGAGUGAUUGCAGUCGCAUUAAAGCUCCACUUCUGGCCGAAGACGCUCUUUUGAAACAUCUGUCUUUGUUAACUGUAUCAUGCCUCUGAAAAUAAAUCUAUCUCUGCAGCUGUCCACCCUUC